UUAAAAAAAAUUUUUACGUUAAAAAUCAUAAUUCUGGCAACACUUUCCUAACGACUUAUUUCAUUUCCGACCUGGUUCUUAUUGUUGUCCUCGUCGGUUAGGCUUAUCGUAGCCACGUGUUUGUAACACAUUCGUCUGGAAUUUUUCUGCGGCCAUCAUG